rnacentral:rRNA from 1 species
UAGUCAUAUGCUUGUCUCAAAGACUAAGCCAUGCAUGUCUAAGUAUAAACACUUUUAUACUGCGAAACUGCGAACGGCUCAUUAAUCAGUUAUAAUCUACUUGAUCGUAUCCUCUUACUUGGAUAACCGUAGUAAUUCUAGAGCUAAUACAUGCGAAGAAUCCUGACUGUGGUGACAUGGAAUGGAUGUAUUUAUUAGGUACAAAAUCAAUGUUAGUCAUUCCAAACUGUAGUUGUAAAAGGCUAUGGGGCUAACUUUUUUUGAUGAUUCAUAAUAA